GGAAGAGCUAUCAAGUAAGAAAACACGCGGUAAUAUUCAACACAAAAUGUGGCCAGAUAAACAUAAAUAAUAAGUGUCGUAUUUAAUGAAUCAAUCGUUAGUCCGGAGUGUAAACAUAUAACCGUUUUCAGUGUAGUCAGUUUGCAUCCUCUGUUCGUAUCGGGAAUAUUUGCUAGUGUUGUGACUAGCACGUACAAAAUAACGACAAAAUUCACUAUAUGGAGCUGAAUCAAGAGUCAACAAGUAUAUUGACAAAAGAUGGCAGUAUUGCGCCAUGUUGAAUUGCUAAGGACUGCACGAUAAACAAGUUGAUGUUCAGACAGUCACCGCCUCAGGGGACUCAGCUGAGAGGUGCAAAGUCAGUUUUCAUGUCAAUCACUGGCAGCAAGAGAGUGAGGCUGCCACCACCUAAUGGAGUGUGAGAAAUCCAUGCGUGGUCACAUGAUGUGCAUGGUCACCGGCCACUCGGGUGCAGACUGCAGGGCCAGAUGGAUGAAAGCAGAAUGUGGAGAGAGGAUGAUCACGCCGGUCACAUUUGCCAGGCAGGAUGUUUUUAAGCUAGUCAUUCUUUUUUUUUUUUUUUUUUUUUUUUUUCUUCUUGUCACCAAAUGGCCAAGUUGUUUAGUCAUUACUCACUGAUUCAUAUGAGGUGACAGAGAUGAAGUACUGACGCCGCACAUUCUUCUUCCUGAGCUGAAAUGCAAGCAUGACCAAAUAAUUGGAUGUGUACUUCAUGAAAAUGGUACAAAACAUACUCAUUUGUUUGCAAUAUCGCUGGUUUAAUGACGUUCAUUUGCAUAGCUCAGGUUAACGAUGAUCAAAUAUAUGAACCUG